AAUGAACGCUGGCGGCGCGCCUAAUACAUGCAAGUCGAGCGAGAAGACGUAGCAAUACGUUUGUAAAGCGGCGAACGGGUGAGGAAUACAUGGGUAACCUACCCUAGAGUGGGGAAUAACUAGCCGAAAGGUUAGCUAAUACCGCGUACGCUCCUUGGACUUCGGUUCAGAGAGGAAAGCGAUGCCGAGGGUAUCGCGCUCUUGGAUGGGCUCAUGUCCUAUCAGCUGUUGGUGAGGUAACGGCUCACCAAGGCUUCGACGGGUAGCUGGUCUGAGAGGACGAUCAGCCACACUGGCACUGCGACACGGGCCAGACUCCUACGGAGGCAGCAGUAAGGAAUAUUGCGCAAUGGGCGAAAGCCUGACGCAGCGACGCCGCGUGGGGGAUGAAGGUCUUCGGA
rnacentral:rRNA from 1 species